AAAUGACUUAAGAGGCAACUCUUAACUGGCCAGGUAAGGAAAAGCCGAGAGGUUCAAGCUUAUCGGGCAGAAAGCUCUGCAAAGUAGCGCUUAACAUAGCAGGGUAGCGGGUUCGGCGGUAGCGCAUACAACGACGAACCAA
ncrna:unclassified sequences IMES-2 RNA motif